UACGAAGGGGGCGAGCGUUGUUCGGAUUUAUUGGGCGUAAAGAGCGUGUAGGCGGCCAUGUAGGUCCGGUGUGAAAACUCGAGGCUUAACCUCGAGAUGUCAUCGGAAACCAUUUGGCUAGAGUCCGGAAGAGGAGAGUGGAAUUCCUGGUGUAGCGGUGAAAUGCGCAGAUAUCAGGAAGAACACCAAUGGCGAAAGCAGCUCUCUGGGACGGUACUGACGCUGAGACGCGAAAGCGUGGGGAGCGAACAGG
rnacentral:rRNA from 1 species